rnacentral:rRNA from 1 species
GUAACCCCAGGUCAAGAGGGAUCACCAGUUGAGUUUAAGAAUAUCAAUAAGUAGAGGAAAAGAAACUUACAAGGAUUUUCCUGGUAACGAUGAGUGAAUCGAGAAAAGCCCAACUUGAGAAAUGGAUGGCCCCACUGUUCAAAUUGUAAUAUGGAAAAAUGUCCUCAGUGAUGGACCAAGCUUAAGUCCCCUGGAAAUGGGUACCAGAUAGGGCGACAGCCCCGUUGUGAUCAGACCCUACCGCACCACGAGGUACUAUCGACGAAUCAGGUUGUGUGGGAAUACAGUCCCAAUCAGGCGAUAAAUUUUGUCCAAGGUUAAAUACGGGAGAUAUCGAUAGCGAACAUGUACCACGAGGGAAACAUGAAAAGAAUUUUGAAAAAAGAAUCAAAGAGUGGUUGAUAUUGUCGGAAGGGAAAUAGAUGGGGGUUGGCGAUAUGUCCUGGUCGGAUGUGGAACGGUAAUGAACCGAUCCGCCAAUUAACUCGGGGCAUGGACCAGCAUGAAUCGAGGUGACAACCAAAGCUCGGGUAGUUAACAUGCUCGUAAAAUGCCAUCGCCCCGAUUGUUGCGGUAGCUCGCGCCCUUAGCAUGCCACUACACCUGUGCACUCCCGGUACUGGCCUACGUGCUCUCCAUUCGACCCAUCUUGAAACACAGACCAAGGAGUCUGACAUGUGUACGAGUCAAUGGAUGAGUAAACCCUAAGGCUCAAGGAAGCUAAUUGGUGUGAUCUCCUUGAGGGGUGCAAUGUCGAUUGACCUAGAUCUUUUGAGAAGGGUUUGAGUGCAAACAUACCUAUUGGGACCCAAAAGAUGGUGAACUGUGCCUGAGCGGGGUGAAGCCAGAGGAAACUCUGGUGGAGACCCAUAGUGAUACUGACGUGCAAAUCGUUCGUCUGACUUGGGUAUAGGGGCAAAAGACUAAUCGAACCAUCUAGUAGCUGGUUCUCUUCGAAGUUUUCCUCAGGAUAGCUGGAGCUCAGGUGCGAGUCCUCGAUCUAUUCUCAAACUAUAAAUAGGUCGGACGGCACAGCUGCUUCAUUGAGUUGUGCCAUGAAAUCGAGAGCUUGAAGUGGACUAUUUUUGUUAAGCCAAACUGGCGAUGUAGUUUGAAUCGAAAGCUAGGUUACGAUGUCCAAUUGCAUGCUAACCUAGUUCCCAUAAAGAGUGUUGGUCAAUUAAGCUAGUAGGACGGUGGUCAUAGAAGUUAAAAUCCGCUAAGGAGUGUGUAACAACUUACCUACUGAAUCAACUAGCCUCAAAAUUGGAUGGCGCUGAAGUGCGCGACCUUGGGCACAAAACCUUGGGCACGAGAUCGGGCAGAGUGGUUGUCGUUGCGGAUCUUUGUGGUAGUAUCAAAUAUUCAAAUGGGAACUUUAAAGGCCGAAGAGGGAAAAUGUUCCAUGUGACUGACAUUUGCACACGAGUUAGUCAAUCCUAAAGGUCGGGGAAAGUUCGAUGGAUAGCACAUUUUGCACGUUCAGCGAAAGAAAAUAGGGUUAAAAUUCCUGAACAAGGACACGACUGUUGACAGCAACAUUAGGGAGUCCAGAGACGUCGACAGAGACCUCGAGAAGAGUUAUCUUUUUUGUUUAACAACCUGUCCACUCAGGAAAUUGCUUAGUCGGAGGUAGGGUCCAGUAGCUGGAAGACCGCUGCACGUCUCAUGGUGUCUGGUGCAUCCCCGACGACCCUUGAAAAUUUGGAGGAUCGAGUACCGUCCGCUCCCGAUCGUACUCAUAACAGUAUCAGGUGUCCAAGGUGAACAGCCUCUGAUCAAUGGAACAAUAUAGGCAAAGAAAGUUAGUAAAAUGGAUCCGUAACUUCGAGAAAAGGAUUGGCUCUGAGGGCUGGGCAUGGGGGUCUCAAUCCCAAACCCAUUGGCUAUCAACGGACUGUUCAAUCUACUACUGUAACGAGAGUAGGUCGCCACAUGAUUGCUGACGGAUGGACUCGGAAUGGGUCCUUUCGGGGCUUUCUUGGCCAUUGAACAGUCAACUCAGAACUAGUACGAGGAAGGAAAAUCUGACUGUUUAAUUAAAAUAAAGCAUCUCGAUUGUCCUUGUGAAUGCUCACAUAAUGUGAUUUCUGCCCAAUGCUUUGAAUGUCAAAAUGAAGAAAUUCAACCAAGUGCAGGUAAACGAUGAGAGUAACUAUGACUCUCUUAAGGUAGCCAAAUGCCUCAUCAUCUAAUUAGUGACGCGCAUAAAUGGAUUAACGAGACUCCCACUGUCCCUGUUUACUAUCCAGCGAAACCAUAGCCAAGUGAACGAGCGUGGCAGAUUCAGCGGGGAAAGAAGACCUUGUUGAGCUUGAAUCUAGUCCGACUUUAUGAAAUGACUUGGGAGGUAUAGGAUAAGUGGGAGUCGAAAGCCGAAAGUGAAAUACCACUACUUUUAACGUUAUUUUACUUAUUCCAUGAAUCGGAGGUGGGGCACUGCCCCUCUUUUUUGACCUAAGGCUCACUUCGUGGACUGAUCUGGGCAAAAGACAUUGUCAGGUGGAGAGUUUGACUGGGGCAACACAUCUAUUAAAAGAUAACGUAGGUGUCCUAAGAUUAGCUCAACGAGAACAUAAAUCUCGUAUGGAGCAGAAGGAUAAAGGCUUGUUUGAUUCUGAUUUCCAGUAUGAAUAUGAACCGUUAAAGCAUGGCUUGUGAUAACUGGUGAUAGUGUCGAAGCUAGAGGUGUUAGAAAAGUUACCACAAUGAUAACUGGCUUGUGACAGCCAAGCAUUCAUAGCGACAUUGCUUUUUGAUCCUCGAUGUUGGCUCUUCCUAUCAUUGUGAAGCAAAAUUCACCAAGUGUUGGAUUGUUCACCCACCAAUAGGGAACGUGAGCUGGAUUACGACUAAAUGCCUGACAGGUUAGUUUUAUCCUACUGAUGAUAGUGUCGCUAUAGUAAUUCAACCUAGUACGAGAGGAACUAUUGAGUCGCACAAUUGGUCAUCGCUCUUGGUUGAAACGCUAGUGGCGUGAAGCUACUGUGCGCUGGAUUAUAAUUAAAUGACUCUAAGUUCGAAUCCGAGCUAGAAGCAAUGUGCGUACUCACCGUCCACUUUUCAACCCAUAGUAGGGGCCUUAUGGUCCCCAGGGGCACAUGUCGUUGGCCAAGCCCUUGCAACAGAUGUGCUGUGUCGUCGGCCUUGAAGCACAAUUUCCAUCGAGU